rnacentral:rRNA from 1 species
GGACGAACGCUGGCGGCGUGCCUAACACAUGCAAGUCGAACGGAGUCAAAAAGCUUGCUUUUGACUUAGUGGCGGACGGGUGAGUAACGCGUGAGUAACCUGCCUCUGAGAGGGGAAUAACGUUCUGAAAAGAACGCUAAUACCGCAUGAUGUAUCGAAGCCACAUGACUUUGAUACCAAAGAUUUUAUCGCUCGGAGACGGACUCGCGUCCGAUUAGUUAGUUGGUGAGGUAACGGCUCACCAAGACCGCGAUCGGUAGCCGGACUGAGAGGUUGAUCGGCCACAUUGGGACUGAGACACGGCCCAGACUCCUACGGGAGGCAGCAGUGGGGGAUAUUGCGCAAUGGGGGCAACCCUGACGCCAGCAACGCCGCGUGAAGGAUGAAGGUUUUCGGAUUGUAAACUUCUUUUAUCAGGGACGAAGCUUGACGGUACCUGAUGAAUAAGCUCCGGCUAACUACGUGCCAGCCGCAGC